rnacentral:rRNA from 1 species
UACGUAGGGGGCAAGCGUUAUCCGGAAUUACUGGGUGUAAAGGGAGCGUAGACGGUGAUGUAAGUCUGGAGUGAAAGGCGGGGGCCCAACCCCCGGACUGCUCUGGAAACUAUAUGACUGGAGUGCAGGAGAGGUGAGCGGAAUUCCUAGUGUAGCGGUGAAAUGCGUAGAUAUCACACAGAACACCGAUUGCGAAGGCAUCUGACGAAUCGGAGAUUGACGCUGAUGCACGAAAGCGUGGGUAUCGAACAGG